UCAGCAGCCGCGGUAAUACGGAGGAUGCAAGCGUUAUCCGGAAUGAUUGGGCGUAAAGCGUCCGCAGGUGGCAAUGUAAGUCUGCUGUUAAAGAGUCUAGCUCAACUAGAUAAAAGCAGUGGAAACUACAUAGCUAGAGUACGUUCGGGGCAGAGGGAAUUCCUGGUGUAGCGGUGAAAUGCGUAGAGAUCAGGAAGAACACCGGUGGCGAAGGCGCUCUGCUAGGCCGUAACUGACACUGAGGGACGAAAGCUAGGGGAGCGAAUGGGAUUAGAUACCCCAGUAGUCCUAGCCGUAAACGAUGGAUACUAGGCGUGGCUUGUAUCGACCCGAGCCGUGCCGUAGCUAACGCGUUAAGUAUCCCGCCUGGGGAGUACGCCGGCAACGGUGAAACUUAAAGGAAUUGGCGGGGGAU
rnacentral:rRNA from 1 species